AACGAACGCUGGCGGCAGGCUUAACACAUGCAAGUCGAGCGCCCCGCAAGGGGAGCGGCAGACGGGUGAGUAACACGUGGGAACGUACCUUUUGCUACGGAAUAGCUCCGGGAAACUGGAAUUAAUACCGUAUGUGCCCUACGGGGGAAAGAUUUAUCGGCAAAGGAUCGGCCCGCGUUGGAUUAGCUAGUUGGUGGGGUAAUGGCCUACCAAGGCGACGAUCCAUAGCUGGUCUGAGAGGAUGAUCAGCCACAUUGGGACUGAGACACGGCCCAAACUCCUACGGGAGGCAGCAGUGGGGAAUAUUGGACAAUGGGCGCAAGCCUGAUCCAGCCAUGCCGCGUGAGUGAUGAAGGCCUUAGGGUUGUAAAGCUCUUUCACCGGAGAAGAUAAUGACGGUAUCCGGAGAAGAAGCCCCGGCUAACUUCGUGCCAGCCGCCGCGGUAAAAC
rnacentral:rRNA from 1 species